rnacentral:snRNA from 1 species
GCUGGAAUGCUCGACGGA